UCCGCCCUUCCGCUUUCCCGGAGUCCUCUGGGCCGACGCCUGGCGGCCACCUUGUCUCUGGGCAAUCGCCCAAAGAGGUAUCGUCUGCGCAGAGACCAAUUCUCUGGCACUCGCGUCGCGUCACUGAAGCUAGAGACUGCAGGGGCGUCGGCGGCCGACAUGACCCAGGCGGAGAAGGGAGAGGCGGAGAACGGGAAGGAGAAGGGCGGGGAGAAGGAGAAGGAGCAGCGCGGGGUGAAGCGACCCAUCGUGCCCGCGCUGGUGCCAGAGUCGCUGCAGGAGCAAAUCCAGAGCAACUUCAUCGUUGUCAUACAUCCAGGUUCCACAACUCUGAGGAUUGGUCGAGCCACAGACACACUUCCUGCCAGUGUUCCUCACGUCAUUGCACGAAGACACAAACAACAGGGGCAGCCACUGUACAAGGACAGCUGGCUGCUCAGGGAGGGACUAAACAAACCUGAAAGUAACGAACAAAGGCAAAAUGGCCUUAAAAUGGUGGAUCAAGCGAUAUGGUCUAAAAAGAUGUCAAAUGGCACAAGACGGAUUCCUGUGUCCCCUGAGCAGGCACGUUCCUACAACAAGCAGAUGCGACCUGCGAUUUUAGAUCACUGCUCUGGAAAUAAGUGGACAAACACAUCUCAUCACCCUGAGUUUUUGGUGGGAGAAGAGGCCCUGUAUGUUAAUCCUCUGGACUGUUAUAAUAUUCACUGGCCUAUCAGAAGAGGUCAGUUAAAUAUUCACCCAGGACCUGGGGGCUCUCUUACAGCUGUUCUAGCAGAUAUUGAAGUAAUAUGGUCUCAUGCAAUACAAAAAUACUUGGAAAUCCCACUGAAAGAUUUAAAGUAUUAUAGAUGUAUCUUGUUAAUUCCUGAUAUCUAUAAUAAACAGCAUGUGAAAGAAUUAGUGAAUAUGAUCCUAAUGAAGAUGGGUUUUUCAGGGAUUGUGGUCCAUCAGGAGUCUGUGUGUGCCACCUUUGGAAGUGGCUUAAGCAGCACGUGUAUUGUAGAUGUCGGAGACCAGAAGACAAGCGUGUGCUGUGUGGAGGAUGGGGUCUCUCAUCGGAACACUCGGCUCUGUCUGGCAUAUGGUGGAUCUGAUGUGUCAAGAUGCUUUUACUGGCUGAUGCAGCGAGCAGGCUUCCCUUACAGAGAAUGCCAGUUAACAAAUAAAAUGGAUUGCCUUCUUCUGCAGCACCUUAAAGAAACUUUUUGUCAUUUGGAUCAGGACAUCUCUGGGCUUCAGGACCAUGAGUUUCAGAUUCGACAUCCAGAUUCCCCUGCCCUUCUUUACCAGUUUCGAUUGGGAGAUGAAAAACUCCAGGCUCCAAUGGCUUUGUUUUAUCCAGCAACGUUUGGAAUCGUUGGACAGAAAAUGACAACUUUACAGCACAGAUCCCAGGGCGACCCUGAGGACCCUCAUGAUGAACAGUACCUGCUGGCCACGCAGAGCAAGCAGGAACAGUCUGCAAAAGCUACUGCUGACCGGAAGUCUGCAUCCAAACCCAUUGGAUUCGAAGGGGACCUUCGUGGCCAGUCCUCUGACCUUCCAGAAAGACUGCAUUCCCAGGAGGUGGAUCUGGGACCCUCCCAGGGCGACUGUUUGAUGGCUGGCAAUGAUUCUGAGGAGGCUCUCACCGCACUGAUGUCCAGGAAGACUGCCAUCUCGCUGUUUGAAGGGAAGGCCCUGGGACUGGAUAAAGCCAUCCUCCAUAGCAUAGACUGCUGUUCAUCUGAUGAAACCAAAAAGAAGAUGUACAGCUCCAUCCUGGUGGUGGGAGGUGGUUUGAUGUUUCAUAAAGCCCAAGAAUUUCUGCAGCACAGAAUUCUCAAUAAAAUGCCACCUUCAUUCAGGCGAAUUAUUGAAAAUGUAGAUGUGAUCACAAGGCCCAAGGACAUGGAUCCCCGGCUGAUUGCCUGGAAAGGAGGGGCAGUGUUGGCUUGUUUGGAUACCACACAGGAACUGUGGAUUUAUCAGAGAGAGUGGCAGCGCUUUGGCGUCCGCAUGCUACGAGAGCGAGCUGCUUUUGUGUGGUGAAAUGGACAGAAAAGUCGCUGUUGAAGACCAACACAAACCUUGUGUGGAAAUGGAGGCUUGGGAUAACAAAAUGGUAUUCCUGUCUCAGAAUUCCUUUGUGGCUCUGUGACAGCAAAUGGGAAUAAAAACACAUUGGAAAGUCAUCAGCCACUCACAGAAGCCAAAGGGACCGUGACAGUAAGUUCACCUUCCUGACCUCAUGGAUUCCCCAUCAACAUCACAUAAUGGCAGAGAGGCUGCCGGCAGAAGUGAGCCGAGGAGAGAAUGCAUCUGCUCCAACCAGAAUGGACCGCUCAAAAGCAGCGAGUGGCGGUGCAGUGGGUCAGUGAGCCCUGUUCUGUCCGCGCCAGAGCAACUUGUUCAGCUUUACCUGGACCACAGCACCUUCACUCUCCCCAGUCACGUGAACCACCACGGAAGUUCGAGUUAGUUCUUUCUGGUGCAGGUGCCACAAGAAGAGUGCUUCACCUGUGUAGAAUUCUCAUCAAACUCCUAUAUCCCCAGUCUGAUCAUGAGACAAACACCUGACAAGCCCAGAUUGGGGGAACAUCCUGCAGGAGGCAUGGCCAUCACUCCUCAAGAUUCAUGGUCGUGAAACACGGAAACACUAAGAGACUGCCACAGACCAGAUGAGAUGGAGAAGACACCGGGGACUAAAUGCCACUGGGACAGAAAGACGACAUUAGUGGAAAAGCAGAUGAAAUCCAAAUAAAGUCUGGACUUUAGUUCAUAGAAAUACCAGUGCUGGACUCUUAGUUUUGACUAAUAGAUUGUGGUAACAUAUCCUAUGUAAAAGAAAAGCCUUUCUCAACAGUAAGAAACUGGGUGAGCACUAUAUGGGAACUCUUUGUACUAGCUUUGCAACUUUUCUAUAAAAGUAUUCCAAAAUAUUUUUAAAAUGAGAUUUGGUCUCACCAAGAAA